CCUAUGUUCACACAGUAUAGUAGGUCACAAAUCCGAAAAGGAACAGGUUACAAUAGGUUAUAGAAGUCGUCAACUGUCAUUCUUGAGAACUUCAGCGAAAUCAAGUAACUGGACAGAGCACUAUAAUAAAUCUCCUAUAGCUUGGAAAUGAAUGAAAAAAAAAACGAAAUUACAUGCAAAAUCAAUAAACCUCAAUUUCCCCAAUAUCCAAAAUAUUCAACGCAGUUCAGUGAGUAAAUUUAAAUACUCAACAAGAAACAAGAACCCAUUUCUCAAAUUCAAAUCAUUAGCUCAUUUCUCUAUCAGUAUGCUAUUGAACAAAAAAGAAAAAAACAUAAUCAAAACUUACCCUUUACCCUAUACUCCGCAUAGAGGCACAAUAUUAUGAAAAAAGAUGCAAUCUUUUACUAACAAAUCAAACUAGAUGUUAAAGGUAUCAACUUUAGUAACCAUCAUAGGGUUGGACAAAUAUAGAAGACUGAUACAUUAGGGUUAGAGAUAUGGCAUUUUUGCGAAGUUCCCUAAAUUCGAUGUAAUAUUAUCAGUUGGCACCCAUGCUACAAAAAGGCUAAAUAAUGCACUUGAUUGAAUGCUUAGUUAUUUACUCAGAGGAAUAGGGAUCAAUAAUUCACACUUGAUACUUUCUUUUUUCUCCAUGUUAUAGAAAUCCUAGAUUCGCCUCCGCACCUAAUUCCCACACCAAGGUUUGCACAGCACAGUGGGUCACAAAUCCGAAAAGGAAUAGGUUACACUAUGUGGACGGCAAGCAUAAAAGUAGUGAAUACAGAUUCAUAUUUCGAUUGAUACCUUAGGGUUAGUGACAGUGGCAUUUUUGCGAAGUUCGGCGGCGGCGGCAGAACGGAGUUGGGAUGGGGUAACGACGUCGUGCAAGUUAUAGACAUCCAUCACAUGUGGAAUGGAUCUGCAGCAGGUCCUGAAGAAUUCAAAGGUACGAGUCCGAGCUUCUUCUAAACUGGCUGAGUUUGGUGGCACCCUAAAACUCUUCAAUAUUUGGGCCAUUCUUUAUUGAUUGAUUUCUUAAAGAGCGAUUGCUGAGAAAAGAGCAAAUG